AUUGAACGCUGGCGGCAGGCCUAACACAUGCAAGUCGAACGGUAACAGGAAGCAGCUUGCUGCUUUGCUGACGAGUGGCGGACGGGUGAGUAAUGUCUGUGAAACUGCCUGAUGGAGGGGGAUAACUACUGGAAACGGUGGCUAAUACCGCAUAACGUCGCAAGACCAAAGAGGGGGACCUUAGGGCCUCUUGCCAUCGGCUGUGCCCAGAUGGGAUUAGCUAGUAGGUGGGGUAACGGCUCACCUAGGCGACGAUCCCUAGCUGGUCUGAGAGGAUGACCAGCCACACUGGAACUGAGACACGGUCCAGACUCCUACGGGAGGCAGCAGUGGGGAAUAUUGCACAAUGGGCGCAAGCCUGAUGCAGCCAUGCCGCGUGUAUGAAGAAGGCCUUCGGGUUGUAAAGUACUUUCAGCGGGGAGGAAGGGAGUAAAGUUAAUACCUUUGCUCAUUGACGUUACCCGCAGAAGAAGCACCGGCUAACUCCGUG
rnacentral:rRNA from 1 species